UACGGAGGGUGCGAGCGUUGUCCGGAAUCACUGGGCGUAAAGGGCGCGUAGGCGGCGCGGAUAGUCGGCGGUGAAAGCCCGGAGCUCAACUCCGGGUCGGCCGUCGAUACUUCCGGGCUUGAGCACUGUAGGGGCAGAUGGAAUUCCGGGUGCAGCGGUGGAAUGCGUAGAGAUCCGGAAGAACACCGGUGGCGAAGGCGGUCUGCUGGGCAGUUGCUGACGCUGAUGCGCGACAGCGUGGGGAGCAAACAGG
rnacentral:rRNA from 1 species